GAUGAACGCUGGCGGCGUGCCUAAUACAUGCAAGUCGAGCGAAUGGAUUAAGAGCUUGCUCUUAUGAAGUUAGCGGCGGACGGGUGAGUAACACGUGGGUAACCUGCCCAUAAGACUGGGAUAACUCCGGGAAACCGGGGCUAAUACCGGAUAACAUUUUGAACCGCAUGGUUCGAAAUUGAAAGGCGGCUUCGGCUGUCACUUAUGGAUGGACCCGCGUCGCAUUAGCUAGUUGGUGAGGUAACGGCUCACCAAGGCAACGAUGCGUAGCCGACCUGAGCGGGUGAUCGGCCACACUGGGACUGAGACACGGCCCAGACUCCUACGCGAGGUAGCAGUAGGGAAUCUUCCGCAAUGGACGAAAGUCUGACGGAGCAACGCCGCGUGAGUGAUGAAGGCUUUCGGGUCGUAAAACUCUGUUGUUAGGGAAGAACAAGUGCUAGUUGAAUAAGCUGGCACCUUGACGGUACCUAACCAGAAAGCCACGGCUAACUACGUGCCAGCCGCCGCCGUAA
rnacentral:rRNA from 1 species